AUGGCACAGUGGUUACGUAUUUGGCUGUUAACCAAAAGGUUGGUGGUUCAAACCCACCU
rnacentral:tRNA from 1 species